AAUCAACGCUGGCGGCGUGCCUAACACAUGCAGGUCGAACGCGAAAGCCCCGCAAGGGGUAAGUAGAGUGGCAAACGGGUGAGUAACACGUGGGUGACCUGCCUUCGAGUGGGGGAUAACGUCCCGAAAGGGACGCUAAUACCGCAUGACAUCCUGCUUUUGAAAAAGCGGAGAUCAAAGCUGGGGAUCGCAAGACCUAGCGCUUGAAGAGGGGCCCGCGCCUGAUUGGCUAGUUGGUGAGGUAACGGCUGACCAAGGCGACGAUCAGUAUCCGGCCUGAGGGGGCGGACGGAAACAAUGGGACUGAGACACGGCCCAGAGCCCUACGGGGGGCAGCAGGGGGGGAUUGUGCGCCAAGGGCGCAAGACUGACGACGCAACGGCGCGUGGAGGACGAAGAUCUUCGGGGCGUAAACACCUGUCGGGCGGGACGAACGCUUCGCGGAUGAAUAAUCCGAGGGAUUGACGGUACCGCUAAAGGAAGCCCCGGCUAACUCCGUG
rnacentral:rRNA from 1 species